rnacentral:rRNA from 1 species
AACGAACGCUGGCGGCAUGCCUAACACAUGCAAGUCGAACGAGACCUUCGGGUCUAGUGGCGCACGGGUGCGUAACGCGUGGGAACCUGCCCUUAGGUUCGGAAUAACUCUCCGAAAGGGGUGCUAAUACCGGAUAAUGUCUUCGGACCAAAGAUUUAUCGCCUUUGGAUGGGCCCGCGUUGGAUUAGCUAGUUGGUAGGGUAAAAGCCUACCAAGGAGACGAUCCAUAGCUGGUCUGAGAGGAUGCUCACCCACACUGGGACUGAGACACGGCCCAGACUCCUACGGGAGGCAGCAGUGGAGAAUAUUGGACAAUGGGCGAAAGCAUGAUCCAGCAAUGCCGCGUGAGUGAUGAAGGCCUUAGGGUUGUAAAGCUCUUUUACCCGGGAUGAUAAUGACGGUACCGGGAGAAUAAGCUCCGGCUAACUCCGUG